rnacentral:rRNA from 1 species
UGGUGGAGUGAUUUGUCUGGUUAAUUCCGAUAACGAACGAGACCUUGACCUGCUAAAUAGACGGGCUGACAUUUUGUUGGCUUACUUUGUCUUCUUAGAGGGACUAUCAAACGUAUAGUUGAUGGAAGUUCGAGGCAAUAACA